rnacentral:rRNA from 1 species
CGCUGGCGGCGUGCCUAACACAUGCAAGUCGAACGGGGUUACGAGAGCUUGCUCUUGUAACUUAGUGGCGAACGGGUGAGUAACGCGUGAGAAACCUGCCUCUCAGUGGGGGACAACAGUUGGAAACGACUGCUAAUACCGCAUAAUGUAUCGAGAGGGCAUCCUUUUGAUACCAAAGCUUUAUGUGCUGAAAGAUGGUCUCGCGUCUGAUUAGCUAGAUGGCGGGGUAACGGCCCACCAUGGCGACGAUCAGUAGCCGGUCUGAGAGGAUGAACGGCCACAUUGGGACUGAGAUACGGCCCAGACUCCUACGGGAGGCAGCAGUGGGGAAUAUUGGUCAAUGGUCUAACGACUGAACCAGCCAUGCCGCGUGAAGGUCACGGCCCUAUGGGUCUUAAACUUCUUUUGUCAGGGAGCAAUAAGGUCUACGUGUAGAUUGAUGAGAGUACCUGACGAAUAAGCAUCGGCUAACUCCGUG